rnacentral:rRNA from 1 species
UGGGGAAUAUUGGACAAUGGGCGAAAGCCUGAUCCAGCCAUGCCGCGUGUGUGAAGAAGGUCUUCGGAUUGUAAAGCACUUUAAGUUGGGAGGAAGGGCAGUUACCUAAUACGUGAUUGUUUUGACGUUACCGACAGAAUAAGCACCGGCUAACUCUGUUCCAGCAGCCGCGGUAAUACAGAGGGUGCAAGCGUUAAUCGGAAUUACUGGGCGUAAAGCGCGCGUAGGUGGUUUGUUAAGUUGGAUGUGAAAUCCCCGGGCUCAACCUGGGAACUGCAUUCAAAACUGACUGACUAGAGUAUGGUAGAGGGUGGUGGAAUUUCCUGUGUAGCGGUGAAAUGCGUAGAUAUAGGAAGGAACACCAGUGGCGAAGGCGACCACCUGGACUAAUACUGACACUGAGGUGCGAAAGCGUGGGGAGCAAACA